rnacentral:rRNA from 1 species
AGAGUUUGAUCAUGGCUCAGGAUGAACGCUGGCGGUAUGCUUAACACAUGCAAGUCGAACGAAAGUUUUUAACUUUAGUGGCGAACGGGUGCGUAAUACGUGAGAAUCUGCCCUUAGGAGGAGGAUAACUGCUGGAAACGGCUGCUAACACUCCAUAUGUCGAGAGAUGAAAUAAUUUAUUGCCUAAGGAUGAGCUCGCGCCUGAUUAGCUAGUUGGUGAGGUAAUGGCUCACCAAGGCCACGAUCAGUAGCUGGUUUGAGAGAACGAUCAGCCACACUGGGACUGAGACACGGCCCAGACUCCUCCGGGAGGCAGCAGUGAGGAAUUUUCCGCAAUGGGCGAAAGCCUGACGGAGCAAUACCGCGUGAGGGAUGAAGGAUUUUGGUCUGUAAACCUCUUUUCUCAAGAAAGAAGUUCUGACGGUACUUGAGGAAUAAGCAUCGGCUAACUCCGUGCCAGCAGCCGCGGUAAUACGGGGGAUGCAAGCGUUAUCCGGAAUCAUUGGGCGUAAAGCGCCUGUAGGUGGUUUAAUAAGUCUGUUGUUAAAGACUAGGGCUUAACCCUAGGAAAGCAAUGGAAACUACUAGACUAGAGUAUGGCAGGGGUAGAGGGAAUUUCUAGUGUAGCGGUGAAAUGCGUAGAUAUUAGAAAGAACACCGGUGGCGAAAGCGCUCUACUGGACCAUUACUGACACUCAGAGGCGAAAGCUAGGGUAGCAAAAGGGAUUAGAUACCCCUGUAGUCCUAGCCGUAAACGAUGGAUACUAGAUGUUGUGUAUUAUAUACAGUAUCGUAGCUAACGCGUUAAGUAUCCCGCCUGGGGAGUACGCUCGCAAGGGUGAAAC